rnacentral:rRNA from 1 species
GAUUAUGGCUCAGGAUGAACGCUAGCUACAGGCUUAACACAUGCAAGUCGUGGGGCAGCAUAUAGAUAGCUUGCUAUUAUGAUGGCGACCGGCGCACGGGUGAGUAACGCGUAUCCAACCUUCCCCAUAGUAGGGUAUAGCCCGGCGAAAGUCGGAUUAAUCCCCUAUGUUGUUUGAAGCGGACAUCUAAUUCAAACCAAAGAUUCAUCGCUAUGGGAUGGGGAUGCGUCUGAUUAGGUUGCAGGCGGGGUAACGGCCCACCUGGCCGACGAUCAGUAGGGGUUCUGAGAGGAAGGUCCCCCACACUGGUACUGAGACACGGACCAGACUCCUACGGGAGGCAGCAGUGAGGAAUAUUGGUCAAUGGGCGCGAGCCUGAACCAGCCAAGUAGCGUGCCAGGAUGACGGCCCUACGGGUUGUAAACUGCUUUUAUGCGGGGAUAAAGUGCGGCACGUGUGCCGUUUUGCAGGUACCGCAUGAAUAAGGACCGGCUAAUUCCGUGCCAGCCGCCGC